AGUGAACGCUGGCGGUAGGCCUAACACAUGCAAGUCGAACGGCAGCACAGGAGAGCUUGCUCUCUGGGUGGCGAGUGGCGGACGGGUGAGGAAUACAUCGGAAUCUACUUUUUCGUGGGGGAUAACGUAGGGAAACUUACGCUAAUACCGCAUACGACCUACGGGUGAAAGCAGGGGACCUUCGGGCCUUGCGCGAUUGAAUGAGCCGAUGUCGGAUUAGCUAGUUGGCGGGGUAAAGGCCCACCAAGGCGACGAUCCGUAGCUGGUCUGAGAGGAUGAUCAGCCACACUGGAACUGAGACACUGUCCAGACUCCGACGGGAGGCAGCAGUGGGGAAUAUUAGACAAUGGGCGCAAGCCUGAUCCAGCCAUACCGCGUGGGUGAAGAAGGCCUUCGGGUUGUAAAGCCCUUUUGUUGGGAAAGAAAUCCAGCUGGCUAAUACCCGGUUGGGAUGGCGGUACCCAAAGAAUAAGCACCGGCUAACUUCGUGCCAGCCGCCGCAGUAA
rnacentral:rRNA from 1 species